ACUGGGUAGAUCGCUUGUGCAGCAGACUGGACUGUGGCAUUUUCUGUGUUGUCUCUUCUGCUUGGGAAAGCUGUAGGAAGACAACCAGAGGGACCUGAAGGAUCCUAGUGACCAGGGUUUCCCAGAUUUUCAUCUUCCACACGGCAUUCAGGGUCUGGACUUUAGCCCAGGUCUGUGGUUGUGCGCAUGAGGAAGAAAUCCUUCUCUACCAAGCUUGUUGCGAGUUCCGGGGAUGGCAAUGUUUGUUGUCCUGGAGGGGCUCCCUGUGUGUGCAGGCUGCAAGCUUUCAUUAAUUCACUGAGUACUGUCUGCCAGGGAGCCAGACAAGCGGCGUUAUUAUGAUCAUCCAUCACCGGCUGAGAAGAAACUGAGGCAGCUGUGGGGAGGAGGCUGCGGAGUGAGUGUGUCCAAUGGGAGAGAAGGAGGAGGCUUCAGUGAAGGCAAAGGCAGGGACCUGGCUCCAUCUGCCAGCCCUGAGGACCCAGCCUUGGGGUGAAGAGGUGAAGCUGUUACAUUGUUGCCAGCCCUGCAGAAGUUGCAUUUCAAACCAGACACCCCACUCUGCCACAGUCCUUUUCUGUUCAAGCCCCUAAACUGAAUACAUUUUGAUUCAAUUUGAAUGUUCUGGAUUAGUGGAAGGGAACGAGGUUUAGAAGAGGUCAGCUCCAUUACUCAGGGUUAUUAAUGAUGUUGUCGGCCUGUUAAAAUCUCAAAAAACUAGGAAAAUAAUAAAUUUUACAUAUUGAAAAAGCA